UAGAUCUAGAUCUAGAUUGGAUUCUUAUUCUAGAUCUACCAGGAGUAAGACUACUAAUACUAUGACUAAGACUAGUAAGAUUAAAAAAAAAAUUAUUGAUAUUCCCAAAUUAGAUGUAGAUCUAGAUGAUUUAAUAUCCACCACACCACACAAUAGAACAAUAGUUGACUUUGACCAGCUUCAGGCCCUUAUACAGCCUUUACUUUGUCCUGGAUGCAAUAAAUCUUCAUUAAAAUUAAAUACUGAUGAAAAAUGUCACAAUUGCCUGUCUGUUAAACUUAGCAUUAACUGUGAAACAUGCAGAAAAGUUGUAAUUACUAAGUAGCAACCAAACAUCGGUUUAGUCUAAAGAAACUAAAAGAUUUGUUCUGUGAACAAUUUUGCUGUCCUACACAUUUAACCAACUGUGAACAUUUAGACAUACAGAAAUGGAAUGUGUAAAAAGAACAACACCUUUUUAAACUAAUUUACAAAAAAGUUGAUGAUAUUAGACAGGCUUUAGAAUAUAAUACUGUUGACCUUAUUCAUCGGAAGCAUGCAGAGGAAAGUGGAGUUUCCAUAGAUGAAGAAUUGAUAUUGAUGGCCCGUGGCUAACCAGAGGCCACACUUCACAUAUUGGACUUGGAUGUGUUGUAGAUGUCCUAACAGGAUAUGUUCUGGAUUUUCACAAUGUUUCAACAUUUUAUUUGGUCUGUUAAACUAUUGGCAGAAAGAUUAAAGAAAAAUCCCCAUCACAGUAUGCAGAAUGGUUUGAAACACACAAGCCCUUUUUGUGAAAUCACUACACAGGCUCAUCAGCUAUGAUGGAAACAUAUGCCACAGAGGUAAUAUGGCUGUGAUCAGUUGAAAUGAGACUCCUGGUCCACAAAGCAAGCUUCUCUGCACUCCUCUAAACUAUAGGCUACUAGCUGACCACUUGAAACCAAUUCAUAAGCGCUUCUCUGAGCUACCCAAAAUGCCAAUUCAUUGCAUUCCAAGAUUUGGAGUACUUGCGAUAAAAAGAAAUUUUCUUCUUUGAACAAAGUAACAUUGUCAGUCAUAUCUCUUCUAUUUGUGACUUUCACUUUGGAUUAGCUGCUUCAAAGAGAAUGAAAAACAUUCUGUUCUGCAAUAACACGUUUCAUGAUUGUCUUGAGUCGACAGAACCAACGAUUAAGUGGGUCUGCCUAUAAAAAAAAAGAUGACCUCAAACUCGAGUUAAGAGAUGCAGAAGGACAGAUUAAGCUGUGUUUUUUUUACUUUUUAUUCUUUUUUUUUUUUUUUUCAGAAAUCAACAAAUAUAAAUUUUGCAUGUCAUUUAGCUGUACAUCAGAUUUGUCCCAAACUUGUUGUUAGAUUUUAAUGAAAUUUAAAAUACUUGUUCUAGACAUGAUAUAUCUUAUUUGUUUAAUGAGUUUCAUGAAACUUUUUGAUGUACCGGUCAACUCAUUUUUCUCAGAAUGUUAGUUUUUGCAUAUGUCUUUAUGCCUUACAAAGAAAUUUUCCUAAACUACUUGUUAGGUUCUGGUGAAAUCUGAAACAUACGUCUUCAGGACAUAAUAUACUUUACUCGUACAAAGAGAUUUGUUUUUUUCAAAAUUGUAUGUACUUUUUAAAAGAAAAUGUGAUUUUCAUUCAAAUUUAUCCUGUUUUUUUUAAAUGUCAAAAAUAUACUAAAAAUGUGUAAAAAAAAAUAAAAAUAAGGUACUUAAACCUUUAAUUCUGCCUUUAUAUCAAUUUAGAGUAUCAUUUUCUCUUACGUUAAAAUCAAAUUUCAUGUUAAUUUGACCAUUAGUUUUGUUUACAAAAUUAUGAGUUUUAAUUUGUAUACAAUUUAAACAAUAGGACUGCCAUAACCAUGGCAACCACCGUUAAAAAAAAUUUAGCAUUAUUUAUUUUAGUCAGUACCGGUAUAUGCUACCAUAACAAUUUUCAAAGGCCUAGCUUUAUAAAUAACAAAAAUUAGAUUUUCAGCGAUACCUCCCUAAAGACACUAAUAAUAUUGACCAAGAAAUUCAACAGGCAUGAUAAGGGUAUUUAUGGAAAUUACAUAUAGUUUUAAGAACAGUAUUGUAAAGAGUCUAGUAGAGUCCUCCAUAAAUGUGUUCUUGAAUUAAAUAAAAGUGAUUGAACUACUUACAAUUAGGGAUGAAAAAAAAAUUAUUAACCGAUUAAAACACACAGAAAAUAAUACUAAAGCAAACAUAUAUAUAUGUCAUUUUAAGUUAUUGUUAUAUUAUUACUACAAUUUCCCCUCCCAUAUCUGGCCAUUUUAUGGGGUUGAGGGAUGCCAAAAAAAAAGUGUUUUUUUUUAUUUGACUGAUUCACUUAUAAAUAUUAUUAAUUUAGAACUAAGCCCAUAGCUUUGUCUUCAUUGAAUGAGGCAAAAUUGUUUGGUCACACCUGGUUCUGCAUUCAUCCUUGAUCUUUAGACAAGACCUGCACAUUAUUAUUUUAGGACACAGGGUUCGUAGCACUCCUAAAAAAAUGAAAACUCUCCUAAAAUUUGCCAGAAUUCUCUUAAAAUUGUGUCCACUCUCGUAAAGUUUUAACCAAUAUUUGUUUAAAAAUAAUUAAAUAUAAUUUUGCUUAUUUCUUGCUAAAAAUGUUGUAAAUGUCAGGGAAACUAGAUAGUUGAAAAAGAAAUUGUGCUUGAAAAAAAAACAACGCUAAUAGGUCUAAUACCCCUCCCCCACCCCCAUCCAAUUAUGUAUUAUGCAAAUGUCAACUAAACAUACAAAUUGGCAUGUGUAUUAUAGGAUCUUUUUAUGAGGAGGAUUUAAGCACAGUUAAUUAAAGAAUAAAACGACCUCAAAUGCACACCAUGACUCUAGUAUCUAUGUAAGUGUAAGAUACACAUAGGAACUAAAAAUGUACAUUUCCACCACAGAGAAUAUACAUCAUGAAGGCAUCUCUAAGAAUGUUUCUUAUUUUAAAAAAAUGGAAUCUCAUUUUAUAUAAUAAAGACAUUACUUCAAAAAAGAAGAUGAUUACGUCCUAUUUCAAGAUUAUGAUUCAGUGUUUUAUAUAUAAUUCCUACUUUACUUUUGAGUCUUCUGUCCUGAAGGCUUUCUAAAUUUAGUGAUUUUACUAAAGGUGUUACUCUUGUCAAAUGUGAAUAUUCUUUUGUUAUGAAUCUCACUGUGUUGGUUCCAGUUUCUUACUGUUUUCUUGAGUUGAGGGGUCCCAAAUAGAGGAUUCAUAUUCUAUUAUUGGCAUAGUGCAUUGUUUUUAAAGUAACUAAACCAAAUAUUUGUAAAGUAUAAUAAAACAAAUUGAAAAUUUUUAAAUUGUUGCUUUUAUUUUAUUUAUGUGAUUUUCUCCUUUGACAUUUUCAAUACAACUAUUUUAUUUCAUGAUUAUAUAAUUAUAUGUUCAAUUUUUGAAAAUGCCAUGAAAAGGUCAAAUAUAAAACAUAUAAUACUCUCAAUGUCUCAGUUGUUCAUAAUUCAUUAACAUCUACUGAAAUACAAAAAUAUGAAAUUUGUGUCAAGGACAAUAAUCAUGUGUAUGUAGGAACAAAUUGAAAUAGUUUACCCUUAUAUGAGGACAAAAAGAACAACAAAAAAAACACCUCUAGCGUUGAAUGAAUGUGUAUAAAAAUGAAGAAAUACACAAAUGUUUUGUUACUUAAGAUCUAUGGCUAGUGAAAAAAAAAUGUCUAAAAACUAAAAUACGAGAAAAAAAUUUUUUAGUUCAAAAGCAAUUAAGUAGAAUGUAUAUUAUAAUAUAUAUCAAUCAUGAGAGUAGCUUUGUGCUAUGUUAAUGACGAUUAUAGACGUUGCAAAGCCUAUGAUAAACACUUAAAACUUGUAAGCUUUAACAUCUUGAACAAAAAAAAUGGUCGCAGAGGAAACAAUUUGAUUUCUAAAAAAAAAAAAAGAGUGGCAACUAAGCUUAUAGAAA